UCCAGAGGGUGCGGUCGUUAAUCGGAAUUACUGGGCGUAAAGCGCACGUAGGGGGCGACGUAAGUCGGGUGUGAAAGCCCCGGGCUCAACCUGGGAAUUGCAUUCGAGACUGCAUUGCUGGAGUACGGAAGAGGAGGGCGGAAUUCCCGGUGUAGCGGUGAAAUGCGUAGAUAUCGGGAGGAACAUCAGUGGCGAAGGCGGCCCUCUGGACCAGUACUGACACUCAAGUGCGAAAGCGUGGGGAGAAAACAGG
rnacentral:rRNA from 1 species